GAGUGGCAGCAGACGCACCAGGUAUGAGGAAAGCCUGAGGACCAGGGCGGUGGCCGAGGAUGCCCCCUCGACGCAUUAUUCCCUCCCUGUCGCAAGAGGGCGCCGCGUCCAGGCACUGAGAGGAAGAAAGAGGAGAACGCGGGGAGUAGCAAGAACGCGGGGAGUAGCAAGUCCGCGUGGUGGGUACAGGCACCUCGCUGGCGCUCUCCUCCCUCCUGUCCCUGCUGCUCUUCGCUGGGAUGCAGAUGUACAGCCGUCAGCUGGCCUCCACCGAGUGGCUCACCAUCCAGGGCGGCCUGCUUGGCUCGGGUCUCUUCGUAUUCUCGCUCACUGCCUUCAAUAAUCUGGAGAAUCUUGUCUUUGGCAAAGGAUUCCAAGCAAAGAUCUUCCCUGAGAUUCUCCUGUGCCUCCUGUUGGCUCUCUUUGCAUCUGGCCUCAUCCACCGAGUCUGUGUCACCACCUGCUUCAUCUUCUCCAUGGUUGGUCUGUACUACAUCAACAAGAUCUCCUCUACCCUGUACCAGGCAGCAGCUCCAGUCCUCACACCAGCCAAGGUCACAGGCAAGAGCAAGAAGAGAAAUUGACCCUGAAUGUUCAAUAAAGUUGAUUCUUUGUA
rnacentral:sRNA from 1 species